AAUUUCAAUGCAAAGCCUGUAUGCCCUUCCCCAAUUAGUCAAGAAUGACCACAAGCUGCCCUCAUGGUUCCCACGUCGUUUCACUGCAAUUUUGGUGAUAGUAUAGGGCCUAAAACUUCGGUGGAUAUUAUGGGGAAAGGUCAAAUCAAGAAGUCAUAAUCCGGUAGCAACCGUUAGUAAUAGCAACGACAAGAAAAUUUGUACCCUGAACAUAAAACCCGAUUUCAUCAUCCAUUCCUUAAUGGAAUUUGGUUUAACUAAUAACUGCUGAUGUGUAUCAUUAUAAACCGUCUCUUUUUUGUGCUGCAUUGGACACUAGUACAUGUAUUGUGCGUCAUCUGGUAUACUUAUUGUUUGUAUAAUGUCAUUUAUGACAUCUUAUAAUUAGCAUAAUGAGGUGAUAGAACAAAACGUAUUUAAAAAAAAAGGUUAUAACAUGUCUCCAGUAGAGAAAUAACUGUGAUUAAACAAAACAUCAAGC
rnacentral:lncRNA from 1 species